UACUGAACUUUAGUCAUCACUGGGGAAGUUUGCCUGACACUCUCUCAGCUCUGGGUUUAUCUGCAUUGACAGGACAAUAAAAAUUCUUGUCUAUCACUCUACUGCUGUCACCUUUGGCUUCUGCACUUUGUAGUGGAAGAAUUUAAUGGAGUUCUGCCCUCUCUUCUCCUGCCCUGCUCUCUCACUUGGUUCACAGGGAAUGGUGAACUGGCAUUAACAUCCUUGCACUGAGGCAACACUGCCAAGCUCUUGCUGCUGCAUAAUGUCCAGGAGCUCAAAUUCUGCCAAACAGAGCCAUUGAUCCUUCAGCUUGUGCCAGUUCAAAGGAACAUAGGAUGCAUAUCCAGCUUUGUAGAAGGGCUGACAAGUGAUUUGGGGCAGACAAUUGGCAUGGACAUCAGUGAGCAACACUGAAGGCAGGGUAAAGACUGCAUUGGGGAGAUCUUUUUGGCUGGUUAUGGUUAUUAGUUUUUGACUGUAAAAGGGUUGUUUUUAUUUAUUCAGAUGUCUAAAAAUAUCCUGGUAAUGAAUUAACCUGAAUAGGGGGAGGAGGACAGCAGAACGCAUAUUGAUUUUCUAAAAGCAGGCAAGAAUGCUGUUAUUUUCCAAUUAACGUUCAGUAUUCCAGAACUAUCCAGCUGGAAAGAACCAGCUAAGCAACAGCAAGCUUUUUGCUUUCUGCACUUUUUCUAGUGAUAUUUUUCUCAUUAAACUUCUUUAAAAAGGGCCCUAAUAGCAACUUCACCAUUUCUUUGGCUAAUGGUGAUUAACUUGUCGUGGACUCCACUGGGGUGUCUAUGGAGUAACUGGUGGGUAUCCAACUGUUCAUGCUGAAGCAGAAGACAUGAUCAUCUAAAGCCUGCCCCUGCUCCAGUACUGGAGAAAAGUGUGAGAGGCAAACUAUCUGAAUGCAGCAUUCAUGAUAAGGAUGCUUCUCUAUAAAACUCACAGCAGAUCUGGGUUUCUGGUGGGACUGCUGAUGUCCUGUAGUCUGAUUCUGGCUGAGUCACCCUUUUCUUUCCACUUUUCUUUUUUAUUAUAUCUGUCAUAACAUCCAUGCCUCUUCCUGCUUAUGUCUUGCGGUUUCUUAUGGUUUAGUAUACUUGAGGCUCACCAGAUUCAAUAGCAAACAAUGAGUGAAAAUUACACCCUUCAAGUCCCCCUUAGUGACUACUGACUGACUAGACCUGAAUCAUGUGGCCAGGAGCAGCCUGCACCACAAAUCCAGCAGGCAGCACAGAGUCACACCACUGGCUCUCCAGUGAGACCAAGCAUUAGAUCCUGCAGCUCAUAUUAUGUACCCAAAGCAUUGAGCACUGAUAACAGGAAAGCAGAUUGGAAGCAGUGAAAUUACCACCUUUCUGAGUAAACAUGUGCACACACAGGUCAACAUACAUUCGCAUAAAUUGAGAUCCUUAUUUUUUAACAGGUUCCCUGAGGUUUUAUCUGAGUUUUCAAGUCUUCUCUGCUUUCUGAAUUUUUAUUUUUCUCUCUUGCAAGUUGCCCUUUUCAAAUUAUUAACUUGUGCAGGGGUGAACUUUACUGAGUUCAAGCAACAGCAGAACUUGUCUGGCUAACAGUAUGCACUGUAUUUCCUUGCAAUUUGUCUCUCUCAUCCCAAAUGCUCAAGGGAAUAUGGCUAUAGAAAGUCCACCCUGGGACUUUCCCUGGUAUACAGGUUAUGGAAACAAGUGCUGAAGCAGAAUUCGGCUUUUCUCCAUCUUGGACUUGGCAAAGUGUUUGUUAAAACUACAAGCACCCAUUACUAUUAUAGUGAGAUGGAACUUUUGCCAGAUAUUUCUGAACAGUUUUGCAUAAAUUUCAAUAUAUAUGUUCUUAUUUAGCAAAUGUUUAUUUAGCUAUCACUGUAGUUUUCCUUUAAGGGUCUACCAAGGGCCCAGGGAGAGUGACAAAACCACCAGCUUUUGCUGAGGAAUGAUAUGCCCUGCAGUUAUAUGUGUGUUUUCAGUCUGGAGACAAAUUUUAGGGCCUGGAUUUAUUUAUAGUGUCUAAUAGAUGCUUUGAUAAUUAUGUGCAUGGGAAUGGAAAACAAAUUCUCCAGAUUAAAAAGCAUAAAGAAAGUGUGUUUGGAUUAGCAUGAUCAACUGAAAGCAUCCAUUUGAUUCUUGGUAUAUAUAUAUAUAAUUUACUAAGCUGCAAAAUAAACAUACUCUACUGUU